UUCUUUGCAAUUUUCCUACAAACAGAUACGUUAUCCAUUUUUAAAAAAAUUUAACCCACCAAAAUUUUGCCGCCCCUUUUUCCCCCAAAAUUUCGUCGCUCAUCUUUCCCCCAAAUCCUCAUCCUCUCAGGUCCUCUUCUGAUCGCGGGGCAAGGUAUUGACGAAAUGUAUAUCAAAUCAUCUUUUUAUGUGAUUUGUUUUAUGGAUUAGAGUUGUUUGGUUUGAUUUGGUUUGGAAUUGGUUGUUUUUAACCCCAAGUUGAAGUCAGGAGUCUGAGGCUCCUCAACCCCUCCCGUCAAAAUCUCACCUCUCAAUGAUUAAGCUCUGGCAGUGGUGGCAGUUAUUCAGUGUGUAUGAGGCGCGUUGAGAUUAGAGAACUGAACAGAAUCGAGAAACCCUAUUUUGACGGUCCAUCAACCGGAGAAUUCAAUUUUAGUGGUGGAUUAAUGGGAAAUCACGCUCAAGAAGGCAAGCAAAAUUAUCCAGCAACUAUAUUGGAAAGUAUGCAAGAGGUUGAUACACAGAAGUGUCCUUGUAAGAUUGUUAUACAGAGGUUGAUACACAGAAUGAUUAUAGCCAAUGAUGAAGAAGGUGAAGAAGGAGAAGAAGAGGCUUGAGUAAAUGUAUAGGGAAGGAGUUGAAGAAGCUUUUGCAGUGUCAUACCCAUUGUAAAUAAUUUAUGUAAAAGUUUGUAAACAAUUUAUGUAUCUCUCUACUAUUUUGGUGAAUGUAUU